rnacentral:rRNA from 1 species
GUAAUCGCGGAUCAGAAUGCCGCGGUGAAUACGUUCCCGGGUCUUGUACACACCGCCCGUCACACCAUGGGAGCCGGUAAUGCCCGAAGUCUGUGGCCCAACCGAGAGGGGGGAGCAGCCGAAGGCAGGCCCGGUGACUGGGGUGAAGUCGUAACAAGGUAGC